AACCUUUUCCUAAGUAUGGCACAUCAUACAGGUAAGGAAUUUCUCUGUCAAAAUAUGCACCUCCUGACGGAUUUUACCUGUGUUUCAGCAUGCUCUGCAGAUGCAUGGGCUGUAUGCACAUGGGCUGUGUGUGCUGCAUAAUGAUGGGGAACCACCAUUCUGCUGGGUGUUCGUGCCUGAGUACAAAGAGAGAUACCUUCAUAUGCAACAGGGGAACAAACAUUUCUUUUGUUUAAGAUCUAUACAAGUUUUGAUGGACAUGUUGGGCAUUUGCCAGGGCUGGCUUUUUUCUUCUCCUUUUAAACUACAUCUGUUCAUUUUAUUUCUGGUAGUAUUAUGACAAAGCCACCUCUGUAAGAAAGGUAGCUUGUGCUUUCAGAGAUCUAAUCAUUCUUGAGCUUUUAAAGAAUAAAGAAGCUGUUUCAACAUCUGAAUUACAGCAUGUUUUGUGUUGCUGCUUGCCAUUGAAAUGGAGCUACCAUUGAAAUGCUGUGAUCCCAUCAGCAUGUACAACUCGUUAUUGUUUACAGUACUUUCAGGCUUAAAAAAUCAUUAAAUCAAGAAGGUUGGCAAUUCUAAUCAACAUUCUAAAGCUGUCAGAUUGCUGGACAUAUCUGACAUUCACUGGACUUGCAUCAAAAGGACAUGAAUAUAGAGUUAAGUAAUCUGAAAGGAUAUUUAUGCAUUAAAAUACCUAUCUGCCUGGACAUCUAUCAUUAAACAGCUUCGAAGUGGUGGUAGCUGGAGUGUAGGGGAGAGGAACCAAAGCCUGUACAGCUGUUGCCUUACCUGUCCAGGCCCAGUGAGCCUGGAGGCUUGGGACUGAGCAUGCUUUUCCCCAAGUCCAAAAUCGAGCCCUGAAAGGAAACUGAGGUCACCACACAGUCCUACAGUGGGAAGGGUUUGCUACAGGCUAUUUGUGUGCAUGUCUAUGACAAGCCAAUAAAAAACUUGACAGACACACCUCUGGAUAUGUUUCAUACUUGGAAGAUUUCGUCUUAGAUCUCUGACUUAGAGUGAUGCUGUUUUUGCAUCCAUUUGUCUGGAGUCUUUGAACAGACACAGCCUAUACUGCCAUGAUACUGAAGAUCAUUAAAGGUCUGGGGGCACUGACACUUUCCAAGUAGCUUCAGCUGCGUGUCACAAAGGGGCAUUUUGAGUAUGAUGUGAGCCCUAAGUUUAAUUAGAAUCUGCCUGCCUUAAGAAACCGGAGCUGCUAUGUUAAUCCCAGUAAGCAACUGGGAGCUUCACAGUGUGCCUGCUGUGACAAUACAAGACAGGAAGGAUGAAGCAUGUGUAGGAAGAGAGAAGUGCACAGGAAAUGGUAUCAGGGGCAGCAGGAUAGGAUGACAUAAUUAGAACUGAGUUCAUUUCUCAGCCCUGAGUUACUCACUAGCCUGCUCUGAGCUUUGCUGGUUCUUUGUGAGGUCUGCUCUCAGCUUAGCUCAGGCUGCUCUGUACUUUGCCCAGGGAUGCUCACACAUGCCACAAACUUCUCUGGUUCUCCACACAUGAGCUUCCAUCCAGAUACCAGCAAAGGUGCUCAGCUCUCCCUGUGUGUGUAGCACUUAGUGGGCAGAAGUUAUGGUGUCUCCCAGUGGAAGAUGAGCAAAGCAUUCCAUCUCCUCUUCAGUUGGUGGUUGCUGUCCUCCCUAGGAAGUUUGUACUAGCCAUGGCUGUACCAGCCAUGUGUGAGAAUACACACUGGGCACAUGGAUGUUGGUGCCGUACACAGCAAACACCUGCCUUUAUUUCAUUCACAGCCUUCUCUCUCACAGCUCACACACUAUCAUUGUUUUCUCCCCCUCUUUACUCCGUUUCCUCCCAUUUCUGUCCAAAAGCUAGGAGAGCUUCCUGCCAAGGCCAGGUGCCCAGGAGAGUGAUGGUUAAUGGAUCGCUAAUGAAGUGUUGAUUAACAGCUCUAAAAACUUGCACUUCCUACCUCACACAGCGGAAGGCAUGUUUAGCAAACCAAACCCAGCAUCAUCUAAACAUGUGGUUCUCAAAAUCCUCUCAAAAAAGCGUAACUGAACCUAUUUCAGGUUUGAUGGAAUCUACUAACUGCCUUUUGGCAAGCAUAACCCAGCAAGGAAAGCCAUUUACAGUCCCUUUCCAUCCUGACGGACUACUCUCUGCUGCAGACAUGGACACAGAAAAGCAUCUGAAGCGGAUGAAUUUUAUGCAGUUCUGUAGCAGAGCCCUCAGUGCUCACAUGGCCACGAGGAAGCCUGCACAUCACUCCUGAACCUGCUUCUUUUGACAGUUCCCAUGGUGAAACCAACCACACACAACCACAGAUCUCGCCUAAGACAAAGCAUGUUGGAUCCUUCUAGAUUUGCUUUCUAGCAUAGAGGUAGAGGAUGAGAUCCAGCAUCACCUAGCUCUGCCAGCAAGUGUUGACAAAUUCCUCACCAUCCGUCCAUGAAGCCAUGCAGCACAUCUGGGAGACACAGAUCUGUGGGGCCAGAGGUAGGGUGGUGUUGGCAGAUACUUGC
rnacentral:lncRNA from 7 species